UACGGAGGGGGCUAGCGUUGUUCGGAAUUACUGGGCGAAAAGCGCGCGUAGGCGGACCUGCAAGUCGGGGGUGAAAGCCCGAGGCUCAACCUCGGAACUGCCUUCGAUACUGCGGGUCUCGAGUCCGGGAGAGGUGAGUGGAAUUCCUAGUGUAGAGGUGAAAUUCGUAGAUAUUAGGAAGAACACCAAUGGCGAAGGCGGCUCACUGGCCCGGUACUGACGCUGAGGCGCGAAAGCGUGGGGAGCAAACAGG
rnacentral:rRNA from 1 species